rnacentral:rRNA from 1 species
GAUGAACGCUGGCGGCGUGCCUAAUACAUGCAAGUCGAGCGAACAGACGAGGAGCUUGCCCCUCUGACGUUAGCGGCGGACGGGUGAGUAACACGUGGAUAACCUACCUAUAAGACUGGGAUAACUUCGGGAAACCGGAGCUAAUACCGGAUAAUAUAUUGAACCGCAUGGUUCAAUAGUGAAAGACGGUUUUGCUGUCACUUAUAGAUGGAUCCGCGCCGCAGUAGCUAGUUGGUAAGGUAACGGCUUACCAAGGCGACGAUGCGUAGCCGACCUGAGAGGGUGAUCGGCCACACUGGAACUGAGACACGGUCCAGACUCCUACGGGAGGCAGCAGUAGGGAAUCUUCCGCAAUGGGCGAAAGCCUGACGGAGCAACGCCGCGUGAGUGAUGAAGGUCUUCGGAUCGUAAAACUCUGUUAUUAGGGAAGAACAAAUGUGUAAGUAACUAUGCACGUCUUGACGGUACCUAAUCAGAAAGCCACGGCUAACUACGUG